AGGGGGUAUUGCACCUACCGAAGACUAUCAAACUCCGAAUGCCGUCAUCUUAUACUUGGGAGUCAGACUGUGGGUGAUAAGAUUCAUAGUCGAAAGGGCAACAGCCCAGAUCGUCAGCUAAGGUCCCUAAAUGUAAGUUAAGUGGUAAAGGAUGUGGGAUUGCACAGACAACCAGGAUGUUGGCUUAGAAGCAGCCACUCAUUCAAAGAGUGCGUAAUAGCUCACUGGUCGAGUGAUCCUGCGCCGAAGAUUUCCGGGGCUAAAACUUACUACCGAAGCUACGGCAUCAGUAAUGAUGGGUAGGGGAGCUUCCCAUACGGGUUGAAGCAUGACCGUAAGGACAUGUGGACAGUAUGGGAGUGAGAAUGUUGGCAUGAGUAGCGAGAUGUGGGUGAGAAUCCCACAGGCCGUAAACCCAAGGUUUCCAGGGGAAGGUUCGUCCGCCCUGGGUUAGUCGGGACCUAAGCUGAGGCCGAAAGGCGUAGGUGAUGGACAACAGGUUGAUAUUCCUGUACUACCGAUAACCGUUUGAGAGAAGGGAUGACACAGUAGGAUAAGCUAAGCACACUGUUGGUUAUGUGUGCCCAAGCAUUGAGGCAGUCAAAGUAGGCAAAUCCGCUUUGAUAAUGCUGGGAUGUGAUGGGGAGCGAAAUUUAGUAGCGAAGUAGCUGAUUUCACACUGUCAAGAAAAGUCUCUAUCGAGGUUAAAGGUACCCGUACCGCAAACCGACACAGGUGGGUGAGGAGAGUAUCCUAAGGCCAGCGAGAGAACUGUUGUUAAGGAACUCGGCAAAAUGACCCCGUAACUUAGGGAUAAGGGGUGCCACCAUCAGGUGGCCGCAGAGAAUAGGCCCAAGCGACUGUUUACCAAAAACAUAGGUUUCUGCUAAGUCGCAAGACGAUGUAUAGGAGCUGACGCCUGCCCGGUGCUGGAAGGUUAAGGGGAUCUGUUAGAGCAAUCGAAGCAGUGAACUUAAGCCCCAGUAAACGGCGGCCGUAACUAUAACGGUCCUAAGGUAGCGAAAUUCCUUGUCGGGUAAGUUCCGACCCGCACG
rnacentral:rRNA from 1 species